rnacentral:rRNA from 1 species
UGGGGAAUAUUGGACAAUGGGCGCAAGCCUGAUCCAGCCAUGCCGCGUGAGUGAUGAAGGCCCUAGGUUUGUAAAGCUCUUUCACCGGUGAAGAUAAUGACUGUUACCGGAGAAGAAGCCCCGUCUAACUUCGUGCCAGCAGCCUCGGUAAUACGAAGGGGGCUAGCGUUGUUCGGAUUUACUGGGCGUAAAGCGCACGUAGGCGGACUUUUAAGUCAGGGGUGAAAUCCCGGGGCUCAACCCCGGAACUGCCUUUGAUACUGGAAGUCUUGAGUAUGGUAGAGGUGAGUGGAAUUCCGAGUGUAGAGGUGAAAUUCGUAGAUAUUCGGAGGAACACCAGUGGCGAAGGCGGCUCACUGGACGAUUACUGACGCUGAGGUGAGAAAGCGUGGGGAGCAAACAGG